CUUUAGAAGUCAGCUUUGGCUCCAGGUAUAAAACCAUGGAAUCACAGAAUGGUUUGGGUUGGAAGGGACCUUAAAGCACACCCAGUUCCAGCCCCCUGCCAUGGGCAGGGACACCUCCCACCACACCAGGUUGCCCAAAGCCCCAUCCAGCCUGGCCUUGAGCACCUCCAGGGAUGGGGCAUCCACAGCUUCUCUGGGCAGCCUGUGCCAGGGCCUCACCGCCCUCUGAGUGAAGAUUUUUUUUCCAACAUUUAAUCUAAAUCUCCCCUCUUUUAGUUUAAAACCAUCCCCCCCCUUGUCCUAUCACUAUCUACCCAUGUAAAAAGUCACUCUCCAUCUUUUUUUUUUUAACCCCCCUUUAAGUACUGGAAGGCCACUGUAAGGUCUCCCUGGAGCCUUCUCUUCCCCAGGCUGAACAACCCCAGCUCUCUCAGCCUUUCUUCACAAGAGAGGUGCUCCAGCCCUCUGAGCAUCUUCGUGGCCCUCCUCUGGACCCACUCUAACAGCCCCACAUCCUUCUUGUGCUGGGGGCCCCACACCUGGACACAGCACUCCAGGUGGGGCCUCACAAACGUAGAGCAGAGGGGGACAGUCACCUCCCUCCACCUGCUGGCCACUCCUCUGUGGAUGCAGCCCAGGAUGCAGCUGGCCUUCUGGGCUGCAAGUGCACACUGCUGGCUCGUGUGGAGCUUUUUGUCCACCAGAACCCUCAAAAACCUUCUCCACAGGGCUUCUCUCAAUCAGUUCUCCCAGCCUGUAUUUGUGUCUGGGAUUGCCCUGACCCAAGUGCAGCACCUUGCACUUGGCCUUGUUGAACCUCAUGAGGUUCAUAUGGGCCCACUUCUCAAACUUGUCCAGGUCCCUUUGGAUGGCAUCCCUUCCUUCUGUUGUAUCAACUGCGCCACUCAGCUUGGUGUCAUCUGCAAAGUUGCUGAGGGUACAUUUGAUCCCACUGUCUAUGUAAUUGAUAAAGAUAUGAAACAGCACCGUUCCCAAGAUGGAGCGCUGAGGGACACCAGUCUUCACCAGCCUCCACCUGGACACAGAGCCCUUGACACAAAGUCCAGAAUGUCCCGUGCUAAGGGAGAAUGUUCAGAAAGGUUACAACUGAAGAGCUAAAAUACAGCAGAACAGUCUUUCCCCUACUCACGAGACCUAAAACGUGCUUUCUUUGCAUUCCUGGCAUGAUCUGUUAUCUGUCCAAACGUAUGGCCCACCAAGGCAGACACCUCAUCUUCCUUUGUACCUCCAACACUCAGCAGCUGUUUAGGAAGUAAGGAAAUAAGAGCAUAGCAGUAAUAACUAGAAUAUAAAGAUAUGUGGCUGUAAUAAAAGUUGCGGUAGCAAUAUUGGAUUUUUGUGG
rnacentral:lncRNA from 1 species